rnacentral:rRNA from 1 species
UGGCUCAGAACGAACGCUGGCGGCAGGCCUAACACAUGCAAGUCGAGCGCGUGUAGCAAUACACGAGCGGCAGACGGGAGAGUAACACGUGGGAACGUACCCUUCGGUUCGGAAUAACCCAGGGAAACUUGGACUAAUACCGGAUACGUCCGAAAGGAGAAAGAUUUAUCGCUGAAGGAUCGGCCCGCGUCUGAUUAGCUUGUUGGUGAGGUAACGGCUCACCAAGGCGACAGUCAAUAGCUGGUCUGAGAGGAUGAUCAGCCUCACUGGGACUGA